AUGACAAAUGUCAGUAGCGGAGGACAAGAUAUGGGUGUUGUUCCCAGAUAUGAAGGGGAGAUGACACCAACACAGAGAAAUAGUUGCAACAUGGCAGAGAAGCCCUGCUCCUUGUGUUCAUUCAAGACUCAAGUUCUCUCAAAGUCCUUUUUUCUGACAAUGCCAAGGGCACUGUCAUCACCUGCAAGGUCUAUGCUGGAUUCCACUUUGCGGGGAUGGAUUUCCACCUUGCUGUUGGCAAGGGGAGUAAGCAAGCUCAAGCUCAAGACCUCACAGAUCACUUCUCUUCAAUUCCAUCAGCGAGAACUUGGUAUGUGGCUAUUCUUAACCACAAGAGAGCCAGGGAAAUGCAAUCUAGCUGGGCAGUUAUGUGUCCAAAUGAAGGACAGAAUGUAUUUUUCACAGACAACCAGCAGUCUUGCCAUCAAGUCCUUGUUAUUUUUCUUUUCUUUUCUUUUUUUGGGGGGGGGGUCACACCUAUGGCAUAUGAAAGUUCCCCAGCUACAGGGUCAAGUCAGAGUUUCAGCUGCCGGGCUAUGCCACAGCCACAGCAACUCGAGAUCUGAGCCUCGUCUGUGACCUACACCACAGCAACGCCAGAUCCUUAACCCACUGAGUGAGGCCAGGGAUUGAACCUGCAUCCUAACAGAUACUAGCCGGAUUCGUUUCUGCUACGCCACAAUGAGAACUCCCCAAGUUCUUGUUAAGAACAUGAAAUAAACAAUUGGAGUGUCAAAUAUUGUCUGUGACU
rnacentral:lncRNA from 1 species